GAAGAGUGAAUGAUCUGUCCAUAAUGGAUGAAGAUGAUAUGGGAAGAAGCUGGAGUGGAGGUUCAUCCUCUUCUGAAGGGUUAUUACAAAGGCAGUUGUCUGAUAGAAACAUAGACCCCAUAGUUAAAAUGUAAUUCCUGAACACUUUUGGCAAUGCUGAUCUUUACUGUAUGCAGAAUGUCUGUUAUACAGAAUAUAUGAAUCUUGUAAUGACUUAGCUCACUGUAGAGUCUCUGUGGCUCAGUGGUUGUGUAUCUGAGCAAAGCAUUCCUAAGGGAUGAGGCACUUAGAAAUUUUUCAUUCUCCCACUUUCAUGGCAAAACCAAAAAGAAACUUUUUCUACUUCAAUAUCAGGGGAAAAACACAUCAACUUUUGUAUUCGAUCUGAUUUACUGGUAGAUAUAUUUUCAAGAGAAAUGUAUUAAAUACAAU